rnacentral:rRNA from 3 species
UCCAGUGACGAUGGCAAAGAGGCCACACCCGUUCCCAUCCCGAACACGGCAGUUAAGCUCUUUUGCGCCGAUGGUAGUUGGGGGUCUCCCCCUGUGAGAGUAGGACGUCGCUGGGC